CGGGGCGUAGCGCAGUUUGGUAGCGCGCCUGCUUUGGGAGCAGGAUGUCGCAGGUUCAAAUCCUGUCGCCCCGACCA
rnacentral:tRNA from 1 species